rnacentral:rRNA from 1 species
GCAAGUCGAACGAGAACGGGUAUUAGCUUGCUAAUACUGUCAGCUAAGUGGCGCACGGGUGAGUAAUAUAUAGUUAAUCUGCCCUAGAGAAGGGGAUAACGUUUGGAAACGAACGCUAAUACCCUAUAUGCCUUUAAAACAAAAGUUUGCAAGGGAAAUAUUUAUAGCUCUAGGAUGAGACUGUACGGUAGCAGUGAGUGGGUGAGGUAAUGGCUCACCAAGACAAUGACACCUAGCUGGUUUGAGAGGAUGAGC